CGGUGGGUAACCUGCCUCAUACAGGGGGAUAGCAGCUGGAAACGGCUGAUAAAACCGCAUAAGCGCACAGCAUCGCAUGAUGCAGUGUGAAAAACUCCGGUGGUAUGAGAUGGACCCGCGUCUGAUUAGCUAGUUGGUGAGGUAACGGCCCACCAUGGCGACGAUCAGUAGCCGGCCUGAGAGGGUGACCGGCCACAUUGGGACUGAGACACGGCCCAA
rnacentral:rRNA from 1 species